AACGAACGCUGGCGGCAUGCCUAACACAUGCAAGUCGAACGAAACCUUCGGGUCUUGUGGCGCACGGGUGCGUAACGCGGGGUAACCUGCCCUUAGGUUCGGAAUACCUCCCCGAGGGGGGUGCUAAUACCGGAUAAUGUCUUAGGACAAAAGAUUUAUCGCUUUUGGUUGGGGCCGCGUUGGAUUAGCUUGUUGGUAGGGUAGUGGCCUACCAAGGCGACGAUGGGUAGCUGGUCUGAGAGGAUGAUCGGCCACGCUGGGACUGAGCUACGGCCCAGCCUCCUACGCGAGGCAGGAGUGGGGAAGGUUGCACAAUGGGAGGACGGCUGAUGCAGCAAAGCAGCGUGGGGGAUGAAGGGAAGCGGGUUGUGUUGCAAAGUCGUUUGACCCGGAGGGUGAAUGACGGUACCGGGAAAAGAAGCACCGGCUAACUCCGUG
rnacentral:rRNA from 1 species